rnacentral:rRNA from 1 species
UCGCCAGACUCCUACGGGAGGCAGCAGUGGGGGAUAUUGCACAAUGGGGGGAACCCUGAUGCAGCGACGCCGCGUGGGUGAAGGAGCGUUUCGGCGCGUAAAGCCCUAUCGGCAGGGAAGAAGGAGGAUGGUACCUGACUAAGAAGCCCCGGCUAACUACGUGCCAGCAGCCGCGGUAAUACGUAGGGGGCAAGCGUUAUCCGGAUUUACUGGGUGUAAAGGGGGCGCAGACGGCAGCGCAAGCCAGGAGUGAAAGCCCGGGGCCCAACCCCGGGACUGCUCUUGGAACUGCGCGGCUGGAGUGCAGGAGGGGCAGGCGGAAUUCCUAGUGUAGCGGUGAAAUGCGUAGAUAUAUGGAAGAACACCAGUGGCGAAGGCGGCCGCCUGGCCUGUUGCUGACGCUGAGGCACGAAAGCGUGGGGAGCAAAUAGGAUUAGAUACCCCGGUACG